AAACCCCUCAUUGUUCGCAGCUGAUGUCACUCGCAGUUGUGAGCGGCCGCCUCUCCCGGGGACAAUGUGGGACUGAGCGGCCCAGCCGCCGUGCCGCCGCCGCCGCCGCCGCAGGACAGCCCCAGCGAGCCUUUACCAGGCAGUGGCAAGACCUGACCACACCCGAGGCCUCCCUGCCUUCAAGGCUUCCCAUGGCUGCUCCAGCUUCCUCCCCAGCUGCUCUUCUGUGCUCCAUCCACCAUCUGGCUGCUGGACGAAAGUGCCUCUCAUAUGGAAGCCGGCCAGGUUGCAGCGCGGACACACUCGCAGGUCGCUGUGGCCCCAGCCUCGCCUGACAGAAUGAGCGGCUCGGACGGGGGACUGGAGGAGGAGCCAGAGCUCAGCAUCACCCUCACGCUGCGGAUGCUGAUGCACGGGAAGGAAGUGGGCAGCAUCAUCGGGAAGAAGGGCGAGACUGUAAAGCGAAUCCGGGAGCAGAGCAGUGCCCGGAUCACCAUCUCCGAGGGCUCCUGCCCUGAACGCAUCACCACCAUCACCGGGUCUACAGCAGCUGUCUUCCAUGC
rnacentral:lncRNA from 10 species